rnacentral:rRNA from 1 species
UACGUAGGGUGCAAGCGUUAAUCGGAAUUACUGGGCGUAAAGCGUGCGCAGGCGGUUUUGUAAGACAGUUGUGAAAUCCCCGGGCUCAACCUGGGAAUUGCAUCUGUGACUGCAUAGCUAGAGUACGGUAGAGGGGGAUGGAAAUUCCGCGUGUAGCAGUGAAAUGCGUAGAUAUGCGGAGGAACACCGAUGGCGAAGGCAAUCCCCUGGGCCUGUACUGACGCUCAUGCACGAA